AUUAUGAGACUGACGCGCUGCCUACUGCGCUAACGAGGCUGCUCGGCGACCACUUCGCGCCGCGGCUUUUGUGGAGAUAGGGGUCGCCCCUCGCGCCCGUGCGUCCCGCUUCCGGCGCCCGAAACUGUGCCGCGCCGGCCGUUGUCCAGCAAGAGAAAGAAAAAGCCCAUUUCUUACAAAGCAGCAACUCAGCCAAGAACGCACUCACCAGUCAAUACUUAAUAUCAUAAAAAUCCAGAAAAGAAAGCAACACAGACUCCACUCUUUAAGACUUCAAAACUGAUACUUUGUUGUUUGGCAGAAGCCACCAGGAGAGUUCCAGGCGCCGCGGCAGGGGGACUGGGAGAGGGGACUGCGCCCAGAAUGAAGGCUCGGGACAAAAGCAGUUGCGCAAACGCGCCAAGGCUGGGCGUCGAGUGACCGCGGGCGGAGGUCACCAGCGGCCACUCCCCGGAAGCCACCCACGGACCACGCGCGCCCCUGCACGCAGAGGGGGCCAGGGCUCCACGGGCGAGCGGCGACCCUGCCUCCCGGAGACGGCGCGGCCUGCCCUGCGCGCC
rnacentral:lncRNA from 1 species